rnacentral:lncRNA from 1 species
AGAAAUUAAAAAAAGGAACACGGGAGAAAACCUGAAUCCAUGCUAAAAAUUGAGAAAGGAUUCUUUUGUAUGGGUUCUGAAUGAUUCUGAUGAAACCAGAUGGAAAGAUAAUGCCUAGAGACAACACUGAUGAGCCUCUAAUGAAAAAAAAGCUCAUGGGUUGCAGAGGACAGAAGACGAAGCUCACCUGUGAUGCACAGUCUCAUGGAAAACUGGCCAAAUAACAAGAUCAUAUGGGAACACACAACAAUGCAGCAGAUUGGACCCAUUGUUUCUGUAUAUUACAUCAUUGCCGUUCUUAAGUGAAUACAAAAAGGAGCACACUAGAUCCCAUUGAAUACUUUGCCAACUUGGCUACUCUACAUUAAUGCGUCAUUUAAUUCGUACAAAGCCACUAUGAUGAAGGUAUUAUUAUCCUCAUUAAUGUGAGACUCAGAGAAUCAAAUACACCCGCUGGGCUGGGAUGCAAACCUGGGUAUAUUUGGUGCCUAGUGGAGAGUGGACAUGGGGUCAACAAGAAUCACAAAAAACGGGUUGUGCAUAGCGACUACAUAAACAAAUGUGUGUUUUUAAUAAAUGGUUUUUAAUGGAAGUUAAU